UCCUACGGGAGGCAGCAGUAGGGAAUCUUCCGCAAUGGACGAAAGUCUGACGGAGCAACGCCGCGUGAGUGAUGAAGGCUUUCGGGUCGUAAAACUCUGUUGUUAGGGAAGAACAAGUGCUAGUUGAAUAAGCUGGCACCUUGACGGUACCUAACCAGAAAGCCACGGCUAACUACGUGCCAGCAGCCGCGGUAAUACGUAGGUGGCAAGCGUUAUCCGGAAUUAUUGGGCGUAAAGCGCGCGCAGGUGGUUUCUUAAGUCUGAUGUGAAAGCCCACGGCUCAACCGUGGAGGGUCAUUGGGAACUGGGAGACUUGAGUGCAGAAGAGGAAGGUGGAAUUCCAUGUGUAGCGGUGAAAUGCGUAGAGAUAUGGAGGAACACCAGUGGCGAAGGCGACUUUCUGGUCUGUAACUGACACUGAGGCGCGAAAGCGUGGGGAGCAAACAGGAUUAGAUACCCUGGUAGUCCACGCCGUAAACGAUGAGUGCUAAGUGUUAGAGGGUUUCCGCCCUUUAGUGCUGAAGUUAACGCAUUAAGCACUCCGCCUGGGGAGUACGGCCGCAAGGCUGAAACUCAAAGGAAUUGACGGA
rnacentral:rRNA from 1 species